CCUACGGGAGGCAGCAGUGGGGAAUAUUGGACAAUGGGGGGAACCCUGAUCCAGCCAUGCCGCGUGUGUGAAGAAGGCCCUCGGGUUGUAAAGCACUUUCAGUGAGGAAGAACGCCUGGUGGUUAAUACCCAUCAGGAAAGACAUCACUCACAGAAGAAGCACCGGCUAACUCCGUGCCAGCAGCCGCGGUAAUACGGAGGGUGCGAGCGUUUAUCGGAAUUACUGGGCGUAAAGCGCGCGUAGGUGGCUUGAUAAGCCGGUUGUGAAAGCCCCGGGCUCAACCUGGGAACGGCAUCCGGAACUGUCAAGCUAGAGUGCAGGAGAGGAAGGUAGAAUUCCCGGUGUAGCGGUGAAAUGCGUAGAGAUCGGGAGGAAUACCAGUGGCGAAGGCGGCCUUCUGGACUGACACUGACACUGAGGUGCGAAAGCGUGGGUAGCAAACAGGAUUAGAUACCCCGGUAGUC
rnacentral:rRNA from 1 species